AGUCGAACGAAGUAGCAAUACUUAGUGGCAGACGGGUGAGUAACAUGUAGGUAUCUACCCUUUGGCCUGGAAUAACACGAGGAAACUUGUGCUAAUACCGGAUAAGUCUUUACAGAGAAAGCUUUAUGCACCAUUGGAUGAGCCUGCACUUGAUUAGUUUGUCGGUGGGGUAAUGGCCUACCAAGACUGUGAUCAAUAGCUGAUUUGAGAGGAUGAUCAGCCACAUUGGGACUGAGACACGGCCCAAACUCCUACGGGAGGCAGCAGUGGGGAAUCUUGCACAAUGGAGGAAACUCUGAUGCAGCGAUGCCGCGUGAGUGAAGAAGGCCCUUGGGUUGUAAAGCUCUUUCGUCGGGGAAGAAAAUGACUGUACCCGAAUAAGAAGGUCCGGCUAACUUCGUGCCAGCAGCCGCGGUAAUACGAAGGGACCUAGCGUAGUUCGGAAUUACUGGGCUUAAAGAGUUCGUAGGUGGUUGAAAAAGCUGGUGGUGAAAUCCCAGAGCUUAACUCUGGAACUGCCAUCAAAACUUUUCAGCUAGAGUAUGAUAGAGGAAAGCAGAAUUUCUAGUGUAGAGGUGAAAUUCGUAGAUAUUAGAAAGAAUACCAAUUGCGAAGGCAGCUUUCUGGAUCAUUACUGACACUGAGGAACGAAAGCAUGGGUAGCGAAGAGGAUUAGAUACCCUCGUAGUCCAUGCCGUAAACGAUGUGUGUUAGACGUUGGAAAUUUAUUUUCAGUGUCGCAGCGAAAGCGAUAAACACACCGCCUGGGGAGUACGACCG
rnacentral:rRNA from 1 species